ncrna:unclassified sequences DTF805b RNA
AAGGCGGCAUCCGAAAAGCCUAAAAAAAGAGUAGGAA